rnacentral:sRNA from 1 species
CUCUACAUCUUCUCCACCAUCAGCAAGAUGGGGCUUGAGGCCACCAUCGCCAUGCUGCUGCUCAGCGGAGCCCUGGUCAGUGGGCCCUACGCGCUCAUCACCACCGCCGUCUCCGCCGACCUGGGGACUCAUAAAAGUCUGAAAGGCAACGCGCACGCCCUCUCCACCGUGACGGCCAUCAUUGACGGGACCGGCUCUGUAGGAGCAGCCCUGGGCCCCCUGCUGGCUGGGCUCCUCUCCCCGUCCGGCUGGAGCAAUGUGUUUUACAUGCUGAUGUUUGCAGAUGCCUGUGCCUUACUGGAAAUUCUAAAACUCAACUUCCCCACCACAUACAAAAUCAAAUACCGACUCUCAACCUAUGAACUUACUAGGUUUAAAUGGCUGUUCUUUGGAUCAUCUGUGGGUUCUUUUAAUGCCUGAAUGUUCUAAUGAAGCCUCCAGAUGGAUUUCCACUAAGUAGCAGUAAAAUUCCUGUCAUUAC